rnacentral:rRNA from 1 species
AUGGCGUCUUCUUCAUCAUCGGUCCCAGCUGUGUCGCUCGCCCCACCAGAAGACAUCGCUCCUCUCCCCCUUAUCCGCUGCCCCAGAUGCAACCUUGGUGUGAUUCAGUGGUUCAUCUCCGAGACCCCACUGAAUCCCGGCCGCCAUUUCUACAAGUGCCAGUUCCGCGAUUCCGGGCGUUGCACCUUCUGGAAAUGGGAGAACAAGUACAUCGACUACCUUUGCGCUCGUUGGUCGCAUGUGUUUCUUCCCAUAGCUCCUCCUCCACAGGAAGUCCCCACCUUGAUCAUGCGUGAGAUGCAGUCGAACAUCAAGAUCGCACUUGCUGUCGCCCUUGAUUCACAUGAGAUGUCUGCACCACAACCAAUCCUCAAUGAAGAUCCAGACCCACUUGACGAUCCAGAUUUCUUCAACAUCCACCCCACCGGCCCAACUUCAACAUCUCGAACGUCAGUUCAGAAGGUACUUUCAGUCACCUCUCAGUUUGACGAGUACAAAGUUUUCCUUGUUCAAGAGAUCGGUUGGGGUGGUAUCCUCAAACUUAGACCACUCCCAAGGAUGAAUCUGAAAUUCAGCAAAUGGGUCAUGAAUAGAGUGGACACGAUCACCCGGUCUAUAAAUCUUGAUAACCUCAGAACUAUGAGGUUUUAUGAUGUUGAUGUUCACAAGGUUUUUGGUAUACCAUGUGGGCAACUAGACAUUGCAUUACACGAGCAACCAAAUGAAACAACCGUAAACAUUAUACGUGCAACCCUUGGAAUGCCUGAGAAGGGAAAUCAGAUUUUAAAAGUAGCAGAGAAAGUUUUAUGUCGUCCACUUUCUGAAAAACUGUCAUCAACUAUCGAGAAAGACAGUUUUAAGAUGGCACUAGUUAUCUUUGUUAUGGGACACUUACUCACCCCCACCAGCAAGCAUGAUGCUGCUCCUAUUGAUUACUGGGCAGGAAUAGUUAACCCAGAAAGAAUAUCUGAUUUCAAUUGGAUGAUUCUACAGUGCAACAACACUCCAAAGCAGAUCGAAGAUUACUCGAAUGUUAGGCACAACGCCAUAACUUUCAAGAUGAUAUCUGAUGCGAGAGAAAAUUUAUUGAAGGAGAAUGUUCGUUUCUUGGAUAAAUUAGCACCGAAGUUGGACAACACAUGCACAUGUUGUGUUAAAAGAUCCAUCCCGUGUCUGCUUCAAUGCAAUACUGAAGAACAGCUUCCAAAUGCCAACUUAUAUUGCACCCCAGAUCCUAAGUCUGCAUUAAAAAAACGUCAUCUCUAUACCAAUGAUUCAGAAGGUGACAGUGCAUCUGCAUCUUCAUCCAACAAAAGGAAAGGAUUACAUGUAUCACAUGACAGACCAACUGGAUUUGCAUCACACCACACACCUGGAUCUUCUAUAGUUCCUCAAUCCAAUUCUAAGCAUGAGGCCAUCAAAUCAUGGGCAGACAUGAUAGUUGGUGGAAUUCUCAUGUACAAUGAUGACAUAUCUGUGCCUGAUGGUGAAGUCAUUCUUGGCCAGACAUCACCACGGCCUGAACAACAAAUUGUCCUCAACCAUUCCCAUUACGCCGACCGUUUGGAAACUACGAUAUAUCGACUACCCAUUGCUGAGAAAGAGCGAUUCAGUGUCACAUGCACCUGCCCUCGGUUCAUGAUGCUAACAUGCGAGGCAAUUGCGGACCAACUUGUUGGUACUGAUGCAAUGGACCACGAACUGUUCUCCUUGAUAAUCCGCCGUGUUCGUCAGAUUGACCAAGAAUUCCUUUACCCAAACAAUUGUGGACCAUGCCGUCAUUUCUUUGAGCCAGAUUAUGCUACUAGUGUUUUAUCCAGUGAAAAGGCAUGGCUCUUGAAAUCAGUCCAAGACCAGUUUUUUGGGGAAACUUGUUCCUUACAACAUAUCUCAAUGCAGACUGUGGCACGUCCAGCUAUACUGGAAUCAGGAUGGGUCGUUUUCACAUGGGACAUGGUCCCAAAAACAAUUUUCAUCUCUGAUCCUACCUCAGGAUUGACUAGCCAAUUGAAGAAGAGGCAUGAAUUUGUUGCUGACAAACUACAUGUUGCCCUGAAUGAAUCCGGCGUCUGCGCCAUUCACAUAGCCAGACAUUUUAACGGGACAUCUCUUGAAGAGAUUAUGACUCAUGAUGCAAUAAAUAGAGAAGGAGGAUUCCUUCUUCACCAAAUCCUCAUCAUCAAGGGGAAUAUUUCAAACCUACCACAACCUCUUUAG